rnacentral:rRNA from 1 species
UACGUAGGGUGCAAGCGUUAAUCGGAAUUACUGAGCGUAAAGCGUGCGCAGGCGGUGAUGUAAGACAGAUGUGAAAUCCCCGGGCUCAACCUGGGAACUGCAUUUGUGACUGCAUCGCUGGAGUGCGGCAGAGGGGGAUGGAAUUCCGCGUGUAGCAGUGAAAUGCGUAGAUAUGCGGAGGAACACCGAUGGCGAAGGCAAUCCCCUGGGCCUGCACUGACGCCCAUGCACGAAAGCGUGGGGAGCAAACAGG